rnacentral:rRNA from 1 species
UACGGGGGGGGCAAGCGUUGUUCGGAAUUACUGGGCGUAAAGCGCGCGCAGGCGGCUUGGCGCGCCCGACGUGAAAGCCCCCGGCUUAACCGGGGAGGGUCGUCGGGUACGGCCAGGCUUGAGGGCGGGAGAGGGUGGUGGAAUUCCCGGUGUAGUGGUGAAAUGCGUAGAGAUCGGGAGGAACACCUGUGGCGAAGGCGGCCACCUGGGCCGACCCUGACGCUGAGGCGCGAAGGCGUGGGGAGCGAACGGG